AAUCAACGCUGGCGGCGUGCCUAACACAUGCAAGUCGAACGAGAAAGUGGAGCAAUCCAUGAGUAAAGUGGCGACCGGGUGAGUAACACGUGACUAACCUACCCUUGAAUGGGGAAUAACCUUCCGAAAGGAGGGCUAAUACCGCAUAAAGUCCUAAGGAUGAAACGCCUAAGGACCAAAGGAGCAAUUCGUUUAAGGAGGGGGUCGCGGUUGAUUAGCUAGUUGGUGGGGUAAUGGCCCACCAAGGCGAUGAUCAAUAGCCGGCCUGAGAGGGCGCACGGCCACACUGGAACUGAAACACGGUCCAGACUCCUACGGGAGGCAGCAGUGGGGAAUUUUGCGCAAUGGGGGAAACCCUGACGCAGCAACGCCGCGUGAAGGAUGAAGGUCUUUGGAUUGUAAACUUCUUUCGAUCGGGAAGAUAAUGACGGUACCGAGAGAAGAAGCCCCGGCUAACUUCGUGCCAGCAGCCGCCGCCGU
rnacentral:rRNA from 1 species